GGGAAGCAUCUCUACAGAGAGAUUGCUUUCUCUGGAGCAUUUAGUGAGUCCUGAUCCUUGGAAGAGACUGGUAACUCCUGUUUGCAGGAUGAGUUCUCCCUAUUGUGAUUUGUGCCAUCGUGGGAAAGCCCAAGUCUUUCCUCAGCUGCCUGCUCAGUGAUAUUCCAGUGCUUUGAGCAGUCCCUGCAAACCACAGGAGCCCAUCUGGGAAGAGGGGAUGGGAGCCCAGGGCACAGCACAGUCCCUGCCUUCAGCUGUCCCCGAGGGGCUGGGGUAUCCCACUGCCUUGCUGGAUGAAGGAGCAUCAGAGCAACAGAUGGGUGCAGAACAGCAUGAAAUGGGACCACAGCAGCCUCACCCCAAGGCAGAACUGCCCCUUCCUUGCUAGUCCUGGCUGGUGUCGUUUGCUCCUUCCUUAAAGAGGCACGGUGAUGGAGAAGCCAGCGUAGCUCUAGAGAAAACAACCUGGAAUCUCACUGUCUUCCCCGCUAGGAAGACUUCCCUUUCCUGUAGGAUUUAUGGCUCCUCCUGCCCCCCUCCCAACCCCCUCCCCAAUGGCAGAGCUGUGGCCACAUCUCCAGUUUGCAGAAAGCUCCAGCAGUUUGGAAUUUGUUUAGACAGUGAUACCUCUGACUUAUGGAAGUGCUGCCAAUAGCUUGCUUUUUAAAGAGCAGCCUUUCGUAGUGACCUCAUUUCAUUAUGGUAUUGUAACAAAAUGCAGUUCAAGUGAUGAAGUCACAAAUGAAAGGAGAAUAUUAAUGUUCAUUUUGACAAAUUAGAUUGGAGACUUCCAGCUGUGCAGCACUGCUUCAUUAGGACUAUUUUUGUUUGAUCUGUAAAUUAAAUUUUCCUGCUUGCGAAGAUUUUAUUUUGGAUAAAAUGGUGUUUUCCAGGAGGUAAACAUUUCAUUAGAAUGUUCUUAAUCACUUGAAGCCCUGUGUCAGCAAGGCUGAUUUCAAUAUCUUGAUGUUAGGUGCAGGCUUGAGCACUUCAUGGCAGCAGAGCUGAAA